rnacentral:rRNA from 1 species
UAGGGAAUAUUGGGCAAUGGGCGAAAGCCUGACCCAGCAAUGCCGCGUGCAGGACGAAGUCCUUCGGGAUGUAAACUGCUGUCAGGGGUCCGCAAGCGAAGGGGUCCAACAGGCCCUGGGGUUGAGCAGCCCCAGAGGAAGCCUCGACUAACUCUGUGCCAGCAGUCGCGGUAAGACAGAGGAGGCAAGCGUUGUUCGGAAUCACUGGGCUUAAAGCGCGUGUAGGCGGCUUAGAAAGUGUCGUGUGAAAUCCCGCGGCUCAACCGCGGAACUGCGCGGCAAACUACUUGGCUUGAGGUCGGUAGAGGUGCCUGGAACUCUAGGUGGAGCGGUGAAGUGCGUAGAUAUCUAGAGGAACGCCAGAAGCGAAAGCGGGGCACUGGGCCGAUUCUGACGCUGAGACGCGAAAGCGUGGGGAGCAAACA